UACGUAGGGCGCAAGCGUUGUCCGGAAUUAUUGGGCGUAAAGAGCUCGUAGGCGGUUUGUCGCGUCUGCCGUGAAGCCAGGGCUUAACCCUUGGUCUGCGGUGGAUACGGCAGGCUGGAGGCAGGUAGGGGAGAACGGAAUUCCCGGUGUAGCGGUGAAAUGCGCAGAUAUCGGGAGGAACACCGGUGGCGAAGGCGGUUCUCUGGGCCU
rnacentral:rRNA from 1 species